UCCGGUUAUCGUGCGAUCACCGAAGUUAAGCAACGUCGAGCCUGAUCAGUACCUAGAUGGGUGACCGCUUGGGAACAACAGGUGGUGUAAG